rnacentral:pre_miRNA from 1 species
CCACUUCCAUUUAUCUGAAUGUAUGAAUCAACGUUGUUUAUUUCAAAACAACGCUGAAUCAUACAUUCAAAAUAAAUGGAAGUGA